rnacentral:rRNA from 1 species
AAGUGGGGGAUAACAUUCGGAGACGGAUGCUAAUACCGCAUAUCUUCAAGAACCGCAUGGUUCCUGAACGAAAGACGGCUUCGGCUGUCGCUCUUAGAUGAUCCCGCGGCGUAUUAGUUAGUUGGUGGGGUAAAGGCCUACCAAGACAAUGAUACGUAGCCGACCUGAGAGGGUGAUCGGCCACACUGGGACUGAGAACGGCCCAG